AUGUACCACUCGUACACUCCGGUUCCUGUGCGCCGCCCGCACCCGCCUGACGACUGCUCGCGACGCGCUAGCG
rnacentral:sRNA from 1 species